rnacentral:rRNA from 1 species
AUUGAACGCUGGCGGCAUGCCUUACACAUGCCAGUCGAACGGUAACAGGUCUUCGGAUGCUGACGAGUGGCGCACGGGUGAGUAAUACAUCGGAACGUGCCCGAUCGUGGGGGAUAACGAAGCGAAAGCUUUGCUAAUACCGCAUACGAUCUACGGAUGAAAGCAGGGGACCGCAAGGCCUUGCGCGAACGGAGCGGCCGAUGGCAGAUUAGGUAGUUGGUGGGAUAAAAGCUUACCAAGCCGACGAUCUGUAGCUGGUCUGAGAGGACGACCAGCCACACUGGGACUGAGACACGGCCCAGACUCCUACGGGAGGCAGCAGUGGGGAAUUUUGGACAAUGGGCGAAAGCCUGAUCCAGUCAUGCCGCGUGCAGGAUGAAGGCCUUCGGGUUGUAAACUGCUUUUGUACGGAACGAAAAGACUCUGGUUAAUACCUGGGGUCCAUGACGGUACCGUAAGAAUAAGCACCGGCUAACUACGUG